AUGGCAACCUUUCCUACUUCCCUGUACAAAAGGCAAAACCAGAAGCCUCUGGGUAGUGCAGACAGACUAGGAGGCAAAGCCAGGUUUGGUCUAAACACCUCUCUCCAUUUUGGGUGCAUUUCCAGGCAUGAGGCCAGCACAGCAUCCUUUUUACACUCCUAUAGCCAUGCUGGGUGUCCUCCCAUUGCCCGCUGUUCCCUUUUGGUCCAUGUAGUCAACCACUGCCGUGCCCUGCUGCAGGAAUCCUCAGUAGGCUUUGGCUGUAAAACAGGUAAGACCGCAGAUAAAGAAAGGAAGGGCAGCAGAAGGCUGCAGAAUAUGAUCAAGUCCAUCGAGAAAUACAUGCAAGUGAGAACAGGAAGAUGGAUGAACAGGUCUGAGAACUUCCAAUUUCUUCUCUCUUCUCAUCUAACAGGGAAAGAUGGUUUUGGGUCACACUGUGCCCUCAAUCCGUCUCACACAUUAUUUCAGUGUGAGUAUGUAUUUCCUGAGUGGGAUGCUUGAAACAUGAAGGGUUCCAUUCAGUCCUGCUGAUGUACUCUGAGAAGUACAGCAGCUACUACUUUUGUUUGCUCCUUCACCAACAACUGCUAUUCCCAUAACAAAAAAGCAUGUGGGCUUAUGACACAUCCAUUUAGAUUAUGGUCUGAUGUAUUAAAUAGUAUGCUAGAUAUUUGGCCUGUGGCAGCUGAGAGAAAGCAUUCAGCCAGCUCUGCUAUAGCAGUACUAAUUUGGUGAAGAGACCAACACAUGCAGGUCAGAGCCCUGUGCAUGGAAGUUGGUUGUAUCCCCAGUAACUGAUAGACUAAGAAUAAGGCUUCACCCUCGACAGGGGCAGUGAAAAGUAGCUUAAUUUGUACUGUAGAAUUGUUGUGCUAGCAUUAAAAAAUAGCAGUCAGAAAUUGGGAGCUCUGAAGUCAACUGAACAUGUUCGUGUACAUGCCUACCUGUGAUUCAUUCUGCAGAUGAGAGAAAAAGAGAAAUUAAUGCUGAAACUGGAUGGAAAGAGUAUCAGUUGCAAAGCGCACAUAGUGAGAACAGACUUCAUUGUCCUGGUCUCUGUUUAAUUAACUGAUAUUCCUGAAGAGAUCUGAGCCUUGAUGCUUAGGCCUGUUACGGUUUUUGUAGUCUUUAGUGAUGACGUUCCUUUUGGCCAUGGCCAUGCAGUCAUGUAUGUUUUUAGCAGGUCUGUCUUUAUCCACAGCAGAUUUGACUGUAUCACUGUGGCUUACAGUGUAAG
rnacentral:lncRNA from 1 species